GAUGAAGAACGUAGCAAAAUGCGAUAAGUAAUGUGAAUUGCAGAAUUCAGUGAAUCAUCGAAUCUUUGAACGCACAUUGCGCCCGCCAGUAUUCUGGCGGGCAUGCCUGUCCGAGCGUCAUUUCAACCAUCAAGCCCCCGGGCUUGUGUUGGGGACCUGCGGCUGCCCGCAGGCCCUGAAAACCAGUGGCGGGCUCGCUGUCACACCGAGCGUAGUAGCAAUCACCUCGCUCAGGGCGUGCUGCGGGUUCCGGCCGUUAAACAGCCUUACAAACCCCAAGGUUGACCUCGGAUCAGGUAGGAAGACCCGCUGAACUUAAGCAUAUCAAUAAGCGGAGGA
rnacentral:misc_RNA from 1 species